rnacentral:rRNA from 1 species
GAUUAACGCUGGCGGCGUGCCUAACACAUGCAAGUCGAACGAGGUAGCAAUACCUAGUGGCAGACGGGUGAGUAACGCGUGGUCAACCUACCCUAGAGUGGGGGAUAACUAGCCGAAGGGUUAGCUAAUACCGCAUGAAACGUGCCGGGGCAUCUCGGAAUGUUGAAAGGAGCAAUCCGCUCAAGGACGGACCGCGUCCCAUUAGCUAGUUGGUGGGGUAACGGCCUACCAAGGCACCGAUGGGAGCUGGUUUGAGAGAGCGACCAGCCACACUGGGACUGAGAAACGGCCCAGACUCCUACGGGAGGCAGCAGUGAGGAA